UGGUAUGGAAUCAGAGUAAUGGCUAUCAGACACCAAGGAUCCAUUUGUAUUUCAUACAUCAGGGUUUGAAAGCUAGGAAGGUUUUUGAUGCAAAGGGGGGGAUGGUCAGAGCUGAGCUUGUGAAAGGCAGAGAGGUAGAAGAGCUGAGACCCCAACACAGAGACCUCACUGAGGGCUGACUUCAGCUACGUAGGUGGACAUGGGCCCUGUGGUUACACUGCAUGCUGCCACAGAGACUUGGCUUUCAGAGUGAGGCUGUUUCUACUGUUACAUGAUCUAUUUAUCCCAGAUGAUGACAAAAUGAAAUCUGGCUUUGUGAACCUGGGUUUAUUGGGGUUACUCACAGGGGCAUGGGUAUCUCAAAGGCAGCGACAUCACUGAAAAGCCUACAUCAGUGUAGAUGACAGUUCAUGAAAGCCAUACCUCUGAAGCCCCUGCCCAACCUACAGGCAUCUCCACCAAAGAGAGUCUCCUCUCCCCAGCAGCUGAUUACUGCUUCUGAAACUUCCAUUGCCUUGAAACUUUGAGCUUCCGGAGGCUUCCAAGUGUCUGGACCCCUGCGAGACUUGUGAGCGUCCCUUCUCCCUUCAGGGUGAACAGCUGACUAGACCUUGAAGCUCCACGUUUGCUGAAGUUGGCAGCCAAGAACAGGCACUCAAAGCACCUUUGGCAAGCCUGCCUCUUGGGGCCCUAGCAUUUACCUGCGGAAAGGACUCCAGAAUCCCAAAUGUCCCACAAUCGCAGAAACCAUCUACAACUGGCAGAACCACGCCUCUGCUAGAGCACGAGGCAAAUCAGAAUCAGCCGCUGUGUACAAUCUAAACAGCCCUAUAUCUCACACCUGGGAUUAAAACAAAAACUUUUUUUUAUAAUAUUGCUUUUUUUUUUAAAGAAAACAAAAUUCCAAAAUUGUCACUACAGAGAUGGGCGCAUCGUCCUGUGACAGUCGCAAGUGCUUGUCCCUAGGUACAAUUCGGAAGCUCUACAAUAGUCCAAGUUUCACAUUUGGAGGUGGGAUGUCUACAUGGGACCAUCUUCUCAGUAUCAGGGACGGUGAAUUGCUGACAGUUAUUAGGACUGUGCCUCUGAGGAUUUGCAGAUGCUCAAGUUUCAUUCUGUUGCUAUGACAAAACACUCUGACCAAAAGCGACUUGGGAGAGAAAAGGGUUUUCCUGGCUGAUGUUUCCCUGUCAUCAAGGGAAGCCAAGGCAGGCAGGAAACUCAAGCAGGAGCUUGGAUCAGAAGUCACCAGGGAGGGGGAUGGUGAUGAUCUGGUGCUCAACUUUCUUAAACAGCCCAACAAUCAAGACAAUUCCUCACAGAUUUGCCCACAGACCAGCCUGAUAAAGACGCUCAACAGAGAUUCUUUCUCUGGGUGAUUCUAGGCUGUGUCAAGUCGACAGUUAAUGCUAACUAGGACAGUAGACAUGAAUUGCAUGUGAGGGGCCCCAGUAGAGGUCAGGCAGCCCAUCAGUGCUUGAGGAUGAAUGAAUAUUUCAAGAGUGGGUGUGGAGGGGUCAUUGUGACCCAGAUUCUUUAGCAGCUCUUUGGCCCCUGGGCACAGAGCCAUUGACGCCUACAGAUUGUAGGAACUGACUGCCUGCUUUUUCAUGGUCCUCUCUUAUGGGAGAUCUCCUGGGGAAAAAAGUGUUUUCACAUUAUGAAGCCACAAAGUGAGAACUUGUCAAGACUUUGUCACAGUCAGGCAUAGCAACUUACUCCAGCAAUCCCAGAGCUUGGAGGAUUGCCAUGAAUUCAAGGGCAGCCUGAGCUAGGCCAACAUGGACUACACUACGAGACCCUGUCUCGAAAAACAUGCCAGGCAUGGUAGCUUGUGCCUGGAAUCCUAGUACUAGGGGGGUGGAGGAAGGCGGGCCAGAAGCUCAAGGUCAGUCUUGUCUACACUUGGAACCUGAUACUUGAGACCUUGUUCCAAAACUUAACAACAGCAGCAGAAGAAACAACACAAAAAGACAUUGGCACCAACCAUCUUGCACAUAGCAGAGCUCUCUGGAGAAGCAGAAGCCCACAGGGGAAGAUGAGACCGGCAAGGACAUGGUCCUUGCUGGUGAAUAAGCACUAGCACUGUCCCACUGCACUAUACUAUACUUUAAAAUAAGUGUGUGUGUGUGUGUGUGUGUGUGUGUGUGUGUGUGUGUGUGUGUGUGUGGUGUCGCAUGCACAUCCCACAGAGGUCAGAAGGCGUCUAUUGGAGCUGGAGUUGCAGGCAGCAGUAGGUUUUGGGAACCAAACUGACAGAGCAGGAAGUGCUCUUUAGGUCUGAAGCAUCUCUCUCCCGCUCCUGUGCUCCUGUGCAUGCUUUUAAUCUUUAGGAUCACUGGCAGAGGGGAUGGAGGGAACUAGCCUAAAAGAGCUCCAUGGCACAGUGGAGCCACAGCACCAGCGCUUGAGGCACCCCUGGUCCUCAGAGUUCCGGCUCCCUCAGGCACUUGUCGGAAUGGGAAACUGGCACAGACUGUGACAACGGGGCAGCUGUUUGAGGCCAGUAGUGCCAUAUCUGGGCAGCAGAGUGCUUAAGGAAGAGUAUGGAACAACAGUGAGUUCACAUUCCAGGUCCCUUGGGGUAGGGGACUUCACCAUGCAGGAAUUUUCUAUCACAUCAUGAACGCCUUGGAGGAAAAUCGGCAAAAUUAAUUGGAAAUUAAAGUCACCAAAUGAGCUCUGAAUUAAGAAACCAUUAACUCCAAAUGACUGCUGGAAGGGAGCGGAAGUUAAUUACAAAGGCUGCCUGGUUA